AACGUAGGAGACAAACGUUAUCCGGAGUUACUGGGCGUAAAGGGCGUGUAGGUGGUUUCGUAAGUCUGGCGUGAAAUUUUUCGGCUUAACCGGGAAAGGUCGUCGGAUACUGCGGGACUGGAGGACGGUAGAGGCGUGUGGAAUUCCGGGUGUAGUGGUGAAAUGCGUAGAGAUCCGGAGGAACACCAGUGGCGAAGGCGACUGACUGGACAUGUAUUGACGCUGAGGUGCGAAAGCGUGGGGAGCAAACAGG
rnacentral:rRNA from 1 species